rnacentral:rRNA from 1 species
CCCUUAGAUGUUCUGGGCUGCACGCGCGCUACACUGAUGCAAUCAACGAGUAUAUAACCUUGCUCGAGAGAGUUGGGUAAUCUUGUGAAAUUGCAUCGUGAUGGGGAUAGACCUUUGCAAUUGUAGGUCUUCAACGAGGAAUUCCUAGUAAGUGCGAGUCAUCAGCUCGCGCUGAUUACGUCCCUGCCCUUUGUACACACCGCCCGUCGCUCCUACCGAUUGAGUCAUCCGGUGAGCAGUUUGGAUUGCGAUUAGUUCGUGGCUUGCCACUACUAGUUGCGAGAAGCUCUGCGAACCUUGUGACUUAGAGGAAGGAGAAGUCGUAACA